AGCACCAACACUUUGAAUUGUGCUCAGAAACGUACUGGGAGCCAGUGUAGGUCUUUCAAGACCGGAAGCUGCUCCCAGUCACCAGUCUAGCUGCCGCAUUCUGGAUUAGUUGUAGUUUCUGGGUCACCUUCAAAGGUAGCCCCACGUAGAGCGUAUUGCAGUAGUCCAAGCGAGAGAUAACUAGAGCAUGCACCACUCUGGCAAGACAGUCUGCAGGCAGGUAGGGUCUCAGCCUGCAUACCAGAUGGAGCUGGUAAACAGCUGCCCUGGACACAGAAUUAACCUGUGCCUCCAUGGACAGCUGUGAGUCCAAAAUGACUCCCAGGCUGCGCACCUGGUCCUUCAGGGGCACAGUUACCCCAUUCAGGACCAGGGAGUCCUCCACACCUGCCCUUCUCCUGUCCCCCAAGAACAGUACUUCUGUCUUGUCAGGAUUCAACUUCUAUCUGUUAGCUGCCAUCCAUCCUCCAACCGCCUCUAGACACUCACACAGGACCUUCACCUCCUUCACUGGUUCUGAUCUGAAAGAGAAGUAGAGCUGGGUAUCAUCCGCAUACCGAUGAACACCCAGCCCAAAACCCCUGAUCUCUCCCAGGGGCUGCAUGUAGAUGUUGAAAAGUAUCUGGCAUGGGAUGGGAUGGGAGCAGUGGUGCAGCCUUACCUAGAAGCUCACAGCAAAUGCAUAAAAGGCAGGGUGGGUGGGUGGAACUUGAAGUUGAAGAAUUUAUAGACUACAGGCACAGCAUGGAAAAUGAAAUGAGGAGAAAAGGGGUUAGAUAACAAGGAGAGAUAAUGGUAUAAGGAAAGGAAGCAGGCCUGAGUGGUGAGCCAAGAAGGAGCAAGGGGAAAUGAACCACUCCAUGAGAGAAAAACUUAGGAGCUGUCAAUGGGAAGAGCUCUGAUACAGAUAGUAGGCUAGCUUGCAGAUUCACUGGUGAGAAGGGUACUGGAAAGAUUCGAUUGGGAGGUCUCUACAAGAAAAGGCAAUCUGGGGUUCUGCUGAUCCAAUCUGGACCUUAAGGGGCACAUUUCUGAUGCAAGGCAUCUUCCGUUGAUCAUAACACCCAGGUUGGUUGGUGAUUGGGAAGAUGCUCCCUCAGGUUCUUUAGGUACCAAGUUGUCCAGGGCUCUAUAUGCCAAGUACAAGGCCUUCAAUCACACACCUGGUACCUUACUGGCAGCCAGUGUGUGGCACCUUCAUAACAGGUGCGACGAGAGCUCUCCUUCCUGUACCUGCCAACAGUUUAGCUCCAGCUUCUGGGCCACCUUCAGGGACAACAGCAGAGCAUCUUACAGCAGACUACAGGAAAAGCAGUCACACUGUUGUGGUUGGUUGGUUGGUUUGUGUGUUGAAGGAAUGGAGACUCAUUGGUAGCAUCACAGUGAGGACCUCCUGAAAUCUGUCACCACUGUCGGUGUCAGUAUUUGAUAGGGCUGGAUUUCCUACCAGAAUUUAAAUAGCUAUACUUUGGCACAUCAAUGGGUAGCCUUGAACUGGAUGGUUUGUUGGUGCGGAGGCACAUACUGGUAGUGAGAAGGACUAGAACUGGAAGUGGGGUUCCUCUCUCUUCAUCCCGAAUUUUCCUUCCACAUCACCCUCAUGAAAUUAGUAUGAAGACUGCACAGAAUUAGUCCAUUGGUCCUUUCUCUCAGUUUCUCACUUCUUCACAUUUCCACAUAAGUUUAUCUACCCUCAUGAAAACUCAUCACAGUUUAGUGCAAAUUUCUCCUAAUAUGUUUGCAUUCCAAACUUGCCUAAUAUCUGCAUUUUUGCAAUUCGGGGGAUUCAGAAAAUAAUAAAAACAACAGCAAGGCAAGUGAAACACGGAAAGUGGUAGGAAGGGGGAAAUUAAGAAAAUUAAAGAAGGGAUACAAGCAAAAAAAGGGAUGGAAUGAAAAAUAACGAAUAACCCUCAGCAGGGAGAUCCCACCAGUAACUCAACAAAAUAACAAAACAAUUGAGAGUUGUGGUAAAGUAACUGGAUAGGAAAAAAUGAGUGAGCCUAAGAUGAGCACGAGAAGCAAACAAGGGACAAUUACAGCAACACUAGGAGUACAAGCAAGAAGACAAUCUUUAAUGGACCCGGACCCAAAUGCAGAUAUAAAAGAGAUUCUAGCCAGAAUGGACAAAAAUUUGAAUGAUAAAUUAGAUCCAAUGGACUUAAAAAUUGAAAAAAUGGAUACAAAAAUUGAACGAAAUGCUAAAUAACUAAGAAUUAUCGGAACAAUUAAAAUAUUUAUUGAGGAAACAUAAAGAUAUGGACAAAUCAGUACAGGAUCUGAAAAGUAAAGUUAAUAAACAGGCUGCUUUGCAGUCUUUGGAGGGGUGUAAAUCUCAAUGCAGGGCUGUGUUCCGAUUCUUGAAUUGAAUUAACCAAUUGUGAACUGGGCAGGUUAAAUGGAGAACGAAUUGAAUUUGCCCCCUAUCUCUAGCUAUGAGUGGAAGAGUUGCCCGAUGGGAGCACAGAAGUGUGUGUGGCCUUCUCCAAGUUACUUGCUGCCACCCCACUGAACGUGUCUUUCCAACACAUAUUUGCGUUUUUAUUUUGAGAGGGUGAUAAUGAGCAUUCCGGUACAUGAUCAGGAGCUGUCAUUUACGAUGAAAGACUUCUUCUGACGCCCGUAAUCAUCCUCCCACCUACCAGGGUGCAUAAGAUUGCAUAAGGUACAUUCAUACAAGUCACCAAAUUGCUGCCAGCUGCAUCCUGAAAAGCAAAGUAUCAAGUCAGUCCCCUGAAGAGUUAUAAAGAGACACUUGGAUGGUGGCAUUAUACCGGUGUGUGCUGAGUGGGAGUUGCAUACGAGCAUCCUGGGAGUGCUUGGCCGAUCAUAAACACUCCGGAAAUGUUCAGAGAGAAAGCUACAAGAUGCCCAUAGCAGACAGGAUCCAAAUCAGCUACACAUAGACGUACCAGGCCCGUCUCCCUCACCCUGGUGCCCUCCACAAAUCAUUGGACUACAGCUUCAAGUGUGGUGUAGUGGUUAAGAGCGGUAGACUCAUAAUCUGGUGAACCGGGUUUGCUUCCCCGCUCCUCCACAUGCAGCUGCUGGGUGACCUUGGGCUAGUCACACUUCUUUGAAGUCUCUCAGCCCCACUCACCUCACAGAGUGUUUGUUGUGAUAAAGCGGGAUAUCAAAUCCAAACUCCUCCUCUUCCUCCUCCUCCUCCUCCUCUUCUUCUUCUUCUUCUUCUUCUUCUUCUUCUUACUCCCAUCAUCCUUGACCAUUGGCAUGCUGGUGAAAGCCAGAGUCCAACAACGUAGGAAGGGCAUCGGGUGUUCGAAAGCCUGGGCUGCCCCAGAAAACUCCAGGCUUCCUCCCAAACCCAUCAACAGCUACUCAACAAAACAUUCAGUAGCAGCAGGGGGGGAAAGAGCCCACAGGAUCAGGCCAAUGGCCCAUCUAGUCCUGUUCUCACAGUGGCUAACCCACAGUGGCCUGUGGGAAACCCUCAAACAGGAAUUGAAUGUUGAGAAUUCCAUUCCACCUUAAGGAACAGACAUGUGGAAUUGCUGCAUGUCACAUGUCUGUUUACAGUCCAGCACAGCUUGCUAGGAACUUCCUUUUGUGUAUAGCUUUCUGUUUUGCUUUGGACACAAAGGAGAUCAGACAUGUUUCCUUUUGUCCCGAUCUACGCUGAAUAAACCUGCUUGUAAAUAUGCUCACAC
rnacentral:lncRNA from 1 species